UACGUAGGGCGCAAGCGUUGUCCGGAAUUAUUGGGCGUAAAGAGCUCGUAGGCGGUUUGUCGCGUCUGCUGUGAAAACCUAAGGCUCAACCUUGGGCUUGCAGUGGGUACGGGCAGACUAGAGUGCGGUAGGGGUGACUGGAAUUCCUGGUGUAGCGGUGGAAUGCGCAGAUAUCAGGAGGAACACCGGUGGCGAAGGCGGGGUCUCUGGGCAGUAACUGACGCUGAGGAGCGAAAGCGUGGGGAGCGAACAGG
rnacentral:rRNA from 1 species